AUAAAUAAAUUUUUUAUGGUUUUAAUAUUUUAUUUUAAGUUUAUUUUACAUAUAAAUUUUAGUGUUAAAUUUUAAUUAUUUAAAUAAUAAUUUAUAUUAUAAUGUAGUAAUUAAUAUUAAAUUAUUUAAGAAAUUAAGAUUUAGUAAUAUUUUAAUUAAUAACAAAUUUUGUGCCAGCAGUUGCGGUUAUACAAAAAUUAAAUUAAAUUUUAUUAGUAAUUAAUAAAUAAUUGAAAAAUAAUAAAAAUUUUAAAUUAUUAGGUGAAAUUUUAAUUUAAUAAAAUUUUAUAAUUUAAUUAUGAUUUAAUAAAUUUUAUAAAAAACUAGGAUUAGAUACCCUAUUAUUAAAAUUUAAAAUUAAAAUACUAAAAUAGUAAAUAAUUAUUUAUUGAAACUUAAAUAAUUUGGCGGUAUUUUAGUUCAUUUAGAGGAAUCUGUUUAAUAAUUGAUAAUCCACGAAUAAAUUUACUUAAUUUAUAAUUUUGUAUAUCGUUGUUAAAAAAAUAUUUUUUAAUAAAAUUAAUAUUUAAUAAUUAUUAUAAAAAUUUAAAUCAGAUCAAGAUGCAGAUUAUAAUUAAGAAUAUAAUGGAUUACAAUAAAUUUAUUUAUAUGAAUAUUAAUUUGUAAAAAUUAAUUGAAAGUGGAUUUAAAUGUAAUUUUAUUUAAUUUAAUAAAAUGAUUAUAUAUUAAAAUAUGUACAUAUUGCCCGUCGCUUUCAUAUAAUAAUAAGUUGAAAUAAGUCGUAACAAAGUAGAGGUACUGGAAAGUGUUUCUAGAAAGAA
rnacentral:ncRNA from 1 species